rnacentral:piRNA from 1 species
UAGAAUGAAGUCACGUACAUGUUUGUCUGU